UUCUGAAAGUGGUCCAGUGGAAAAGGAGACCUGGAUUCUGGAAAGUAUAGCGAGCAAAGGUUCGAGAAAUGUCGGCACAGGAAGAAAACCUAAUUUAUCGCGCGCGAAUCAGCUGUCUGCAAAAGGUGGGAAAACGAAUGGGAGUAAGAGAGAAAAAGAGAGUGAGAGCAAAAAGGCGACGAAGGGGCCGAAGUCACCGGCGAUAUACGCGCACCGCACGCCGCGGCGGCAAAAGGUGGGGAACUAUUCAUAGGAAUGACUCAUGUAGGAGAUGACGCCGCGAAUAGUCAGCCAGAAUUUGCGCGCUACACUAUGCCACCGGGCUGCCUCCCGUCCCUGAUUCAGUUUGCCAAACGCCGAACAUCGCGAUAUGAUUCGCGAGCGUCUCUGGUCGUUAGAAUGGAGCUGGGACUAUUUGAGUAGGCCACAGUUCGGAUAGGAGACUAUUUGAAUAUGUAGUUGGAGUGGUUCAAUAUUGUAGUUCGAUGACACUAUCCAAAUAGUUCAAGGUGUUUAUUGUUUGGAUCGCGCGGAUCUAGCGAUCCCGAUAACGCGACGGACGCGCGGGAGUCAUCGCCGCGCAGAAACGCGCUGAUAGCAACGUUCCCGUCGGAAAUUGUAAACAGGACUCAGCUAAACGACUCUAGUGAAUUAGACGCUGGCGUGGCUUGUGUAAGAGCCAGUGAACGACGCCACGUGCUGAAUGAAACCGUUGAAAACCGUAACGCGACGCUUGCAGCUUGCGUGCGCGAAAAAUUUUCCACCGACCUCGCGAGCUGAAUGACUUUUCUGGGAUGACGCUACCACGGUGGAAAGUUUUUCUAGUUGGGAAUACACGCUUCUGGGAAAAACGAUUCAGUGGAUGGACAGCAUCUGGUAGAUGACGGAGGAAAAACGCUGGCGACAAAACAAAAACAUUAAUGAAUCUUUCUGAAAUUCUUUUUUCACUACUCAUACCGUCAUGUCUCUUCUUAACGACCACUUAUCUGUAAAGUAAUUCCUACGAAACUAAUCUGCUAUUAAACACGCGAUACAUUCAGACGCUAAUCCUGAUACAGCUAAUGGACUUUGAUAGAAAUCGGAGUGGCUUCAGGUACCAAAUACAACGAGAGGAAUCAUCCUAAACACGCGAUCUUGAGUCGAUAGGAACAUCGUUCGAUGCAUCGAAGGAGGUUCAACGAUAGAAAUGGCGCAAGCGAGCGUGGCGUAAAAGCGAAUAAGUCGUUCGAAGUCGCGUCAAUGGAUCGUGAUCGUCUGGUUUGGCGCGCAGACGACGCCGAAGCGACACAGGCGAGGAGCUGCAUUCCGUAAAACGAGCACGUACGCGCGCGUUUCGACGGAACGAGGCGAGAAAACGCGUUUAGUGGAGUACGUACCGAGAGUACUGUUACUCGAGCGCCGAUAGAGAGGAGCACGAGCCACCGCCGAUACGCAAUCUUACCCACCCACGUUUCCUCGACAUUUUCCAUUCAAUUUCCCGUUGAAUUCACCGCCUACGCAAUUCAGUCGAGCGGGAUCAGCAAAGACCGUGUGUGACGGAUGGAAAAUGUUCCCUUUUUACUAUUUUAAAAACGGAGGGAGUCCAUGCGAGAUCUAUCAUUUAGGAAAUCGUAAAAAUUAAAUGAUGAUUGAUGCUUGUGACUUGGAAAAGUUUAUCCGAUUUUUACCAUUUUUAUUUUAAACACGUAGUCAGUUAGUACAUGUACUAUUAUUUGCAAUAAUUAGAGUUUUACAAUUAUCCAGCCAAUCAGCAUACUGAAAAUGUUACUCUGACAAGUAUUAGAAAAUUAUGUAAUCUACGAGAGCUAUUCCCAUAAUCCAUGCCCGAGAGAAUAAAUUUGAAUGUCCAUCUCUGAGAAACAUAUUUUUUACCUACAUCUGAACAUUAAAGAAACCGCAAUUUGUUAUGUCCACCUCACACGGAAACGUGGAGUUACUAUCGACGAUCGUAAAUUUCGAGAAUAAUUUGCAGAUUACUUCACACCACUUGGAAGAGAAUGGUAUACCCGAAGGACGAUCCAUAAGAAUGUGAAUUUUUCCGUGUGAAGAAACCACGAAUUUCUGCAGUACAUAAGGAAGCACCAUCGUGCAAUGGUAAUAAAAACUUGCGAGACUAGGACCUGUCUCUGCUUUUAGCGAAAACGGUAAACUCGAAGGUCAACGUGUAAGAAGAUAUUCGAGAUGUGGGAGUACGCGAGUCGUAAGUAUUGAGUAAUCUCUCAGGAAAUAGCUGUUAAUUAUAGAAUCGUAAAUGUUGGGAACAAUUUGCAAAAAGUGUCGCAACUGACAGAAGGAGGAAGAGAAUUAGAA